AACGAACGCUGGCGGCGCGCCUAAUACAUGCAAGUCGAGCGAGAAGACGUAGCAAUACGUUUGUAAAGCGGCGAACGGGUGAGGAAUACAUGGGUAACCUACCCUCGAGUGGGGAAUAACUAGCCGAAAGGUUAGCUAAUACCGCGUACGCUCCUUGGACUUCGGUUCAGGGAGGAAAGCGAUACCGUGGGUAUCGCGCUCUGGGAUGGGCUCAUGUCCUAUCAGCUUGUUGGUGAGGUAACGGCUCACCAAGGCUUCGACGGGUAGCUGGUCCGAGAGGACGAUCAGCCACACUGGCACUGCGACACGGGCCAGACUCCUACGGGAGGCAGCAGUAAGGAAUAUUGCGCAAUGGGCGAAAGCCUGACGCAGCGACGCCGCGUGGGGGAUGAAGGUCUUCGGAUUGUAAACCCCUUUCGGGAGGGAAGAUGGAACGAGCAAUCGUUCGGACGGUACCUCCAGAAGCAGCCACGGCUAACUUCGUGCCAGCAGCCGCCGUAACAC
rnacentral:rRNA from 1 species